GAGGGUAUAGCUCAAGUGGUAGAGCAUAUGCCUAGCAUGCACAAGGCCCUGGGUUCAAUCCCCAGUACCUGCC
rnacentral:tRNA from 1 species